GGGGCCGACCUGGUUUCGACGUGGGUUCAAAGUUGGAUUAGGGCAUGCCGAGCACCAGUUCGCUCGUAAAACCACUGGAAACAAAGUAACUGCAAACGACUCUACGUUCGCACUCGCCGCUUAAUACCGGCUGAGCAUCUCAACGGUUGGCCCAUGGGCCGGGCCUGAGCCGCAAGGCAAGGGCUGAGAUGACAUUCACAUGGGCUGGUCUUCGGGUGUGCCACACAUCCAAAGACGAGACUUUGUGGCUGGCAUCCUGGGUAGCGUGCUGCUGCGCGACCCAGGGAGCGAGAUUCAAAUCAGACAGCUAAGCACGUAGAUCUACCUGGCGAUGGCUUACGGACGGGGGUUCAAUUCCCCCCGGCUCCACCA
rnacentral:tmRNA from 1 species